rnacentral:lncRNA from 1 species
GCUAAAGAUAAUGGUCUCCAGCUCCACCCAUGUUCCCGCAAAGACAUGAUCUUGUUCUUUUCUAUAAAGCCAAGAUUUAAGAUCCAACAAUCCAGUUCUAGAAUCUUAAGCCUCUUUAGCAUAGGGUAAAUAUGUACAUCAAGUACAAUUACGGCAGUGGAAUCAAAUAGGCUCUCCUGCAAUCUCAAACUUGCUUAUACUUUAACUCAUAUAUGGUUAGGUUUCAAACACGUGGGAGAGACAGAAGAACCCUAGGAAUUUAGAGAUGGAACUUGAUAAAGGCAUUUCUCAGAAGAAUUUCAGACAGCAGGAACUUGACUUCAAAGGUUGGUGUGACGUGGGCAGACACAGAGGGGGAAGCACAGCCCAAGUACGAGCGGACGGCAGGAUGGGUGGAGGCAGCAAUGCAAUGGAGUGAGGAGAGGAAGUGUGGACUAUGGAAAUGAUGUUAGACAAAAAGCAAAUUCAAGCAAUAUUCUUAUUUGAGUUCGAAAUGGGUCAUAAAGACAACUCACAACAUCAACAAUGCAUUUGGUCUGAGAACUGCUAAUGAAUGUACAGUGCAAUGGUGGUUCAAGAAGUUUUGCCAAGGAGAUGAGAGCCUUGAAGAUGAGGAGCGUAGUGGCUGGCCAUUGGAAAGUGACAACGACCAUUUGAGAGUAGUCAUUGAAGCUGAUCCUCUUACAAGUACAAGAGAAGUUGCCCAAGAACUCAGUGUCAAUCAUUCUAUAGUGUUCAGCAUUUGAAGCAAAUUGGAAAGGUGAAAAAGGUCAAUAAGUGGGUGCCUCAUGAGCUGACUGAAAAUACAAAAAUCAUCUUUUUGAAGUGUCAUCUUCCAUUGUUCUAUGCAACAACAACAAACUAUUUCUCGAUCAGAUUGUGAUAUGCAACGAAAAGUGGAUUUUAUAUGACAACUGGCAAUGACCAGCUCAGUGGCUGGCCUGAGAAGAAGUUCCAAAGCACUUCCCAAAGCCAAGCUUGCACCAAAAAAAGGUCAUGGCCACUGUUUGGUGGUCUGUUGCUGGUCUGAUCCACUACAGCUUUCUGAAUCUCACUGCAACUGUUACAUCUGAGAAGUAUGCUCAGCAAAUCAAUGAGAUGCACUGAAAACUGCAAUGCCUGCAGCUAGCACUGGUCAACAAAAAGGGCCCAAUUCUUUUCCACAACGCCUGACUGCACAUCACACAACCAGUGCAUCAGAAGUUGAAUGAAUUGGGCCAUGAAGUUUUGCCUCAACCGCCACAUUCAUCUGACCUCUGCCAACCAACUACUACUUCCUCAAGCAUCUCAACAACUUUUUGCAGGGAAAAUGCUUCCACAACCAGCAGGAUGCAGAAAAUGCUUUUCAAGAGUUCAUUGAAUCCUGAAGCACGGAUUUCUAUACUACAGUAAUGAAAAAAUGUAUUUCUCAUUGGCAAAAAUGUGUGGAUUGUAAUGGUUCCUAUUCUGAUUAAUAAAGAUGUGUUUAAGCCUCGUU